rnacentral:lncRNA from 1 species
GAACCAUAAUUCAACGAGAGUCUUAUUAUGCAAAUUCACUGGAAAGCGCAGGUCUCUACAUCUCUGCCAAACAAUGAGUGCAACAAUGGCUGUCACGUCAUUCUAGUAAGAAAACAUUGUAUCUUGAAGACAGGAACUGGAGCUGAUAUAAAAUUUUAAUAUGUUCAUAUUGCUUAAUACAGUGCUAUCUUGAGAGAGCACACAAUAAAUAACACUUGAAAAGUGGCACACUGUUCCAUGCCAAGUUAACCAGAAGGAAAAUGUGUUCUGAGCUGAGCUAUAAAACAUUAGUCUUCCAAAUAAGUCUCUGGCUCCACCGUUUUCAGGACACUUUGCUAAUGCUUGUUUUUGUUGCCUUUUGUUGUGUAUUUUAUGUUUGCUUCUUUUCUGUAUUACCAUAUGUAUAAUCCUUCAAAGAUAACAACCAAUCUCAUUGAAAACUGCUCAAUGUAUUCUUCACAUUUGUCAAAAUAUUUCAAUUAACAGGAUAAGGUGAGUCACUAAAGAUUUUCUUGUUCUCACACACACAAAUGACCUAAAGCUUUAAUGCUUAAGCACCCCUAUAUAAGCAAUAAAUGAGCUGAACAAUUUCCCACGAGCUCAGAGACACUCUGAAAAACUUAAACCUUCUCACGACCUAUGAAAUGAACUCAUUACCUUUAUGAAAUUGCAAUAAAGCCCACUAAUGUUCCGUAAACAUAGCAUUUACUCCCAUCACUGCUUCUGGCAAAUACUGUUCAAACAGUGCCUGCAUGGCAGAAGGGCUGAAAAUCCUUAUUUCUAACAAACAUUAAAGGAAUCUCUUUUGAAUACAUCAUUCCAAACCCAAAACAUUUUAUUUUCCUGUUAGAAUAAUACUAACUUAAAGAAACUUAAGCUUAGUAAUUGAUGUAACUGUUCGCUGCAAGUUAUUUUAAAAAAAAGAAAUCAGGUCCAAAUACCUGCUGUCUUCCUCUUGUAACAACCCUGACUUGGGUUAAGCAACAGUCAAAGAUGCUGCAAAGCCACACACCGAGCUACUCUGGGAACAUCACGACAAAGUGGUAGAGACUCAGAUGUCAUCUAGUCUCUCCCACCCAUCUUGCUGCACAGCCCUCUCCCAUAACCCCCUGCAGGGGGCCCCCAAACUGCUGAAGAACUCCAGGAAUGACACACUCACUGGUCUUUUGUGCUCUCACUGGACAACUCCAAUUGGGAAAAGGUUUUCUCUAUGUCCAUGCUGUCUUAGACCUUGCAAAGGACCUCUUCUCUCUAUGCAUAAUAUGGCCUUCUACCACCUCCUGGUUCUUCUUGUAUUUUCCCACUCCCAUUUACUUUAUCUGGGUGAGAGAUCCAUACUCCUGUCCUUCCUGGUUCUCCGAACCCCAGGCUCAGCUCACAGCUCCUGAUUUCUACUUCAGCCCCAGCUUUGCUCUACCAACUAUUCAGACAUGCUUCUCCCAUAACUCCUUAGCAUAUUCACAAAGACAUAAUUUGCAACUUGCUCUCUGGCUCCAUGUAGCUAUAAAACUAUAGGCCAGAGAUUCUCCCACCUUCUGCCAGCUCCCCCUCUCAUGCCCUGAGCAGUUCUCCCUCCAAGAAGCCAGCAUCAGACCAUGAAGAGCUAAACCUCCCUGAGACACUGACUCCCAUGUUCUACCCACAUGUUCCCAUCCUGCACUAUGAAGUCAGAACAUAUAAGAUGUGGUUGUUUUAAAAAAAGCAGUUCAGAGUUUACCUAAACAGAAAUUGGGGACUUCUGUGAGCAAAAGGAGUUGGAGUUCAGAGCCCAUCCAGGAUCUCAAGACCAGAGGCACAGGCAGGAGAGAAUGAGGGCAGAUCCCAAGGCCAUGCUGCCUCUCUUGUUGCGGGCACACCUCCCGGCCUGGGUCCUGCGCCAUUACAGCCAGCCUGCUUGGAAUUUGCUCCCUCAUAAUCCCCUCUUUCCUGUUUACACCUCUCUUUAACAAUCAUGCCUGACCCCGCUUUCCUUCAAACCCCAUGUAGAUUCUACCAGCCAGACACUCCAACUUUACUUUUGAAGCAUAGUGUUUAAUAAUUUCCUCUCCAACUCUGCCACUACUGCCUUCUUCCAGCCCCACAUCACUUCACACUUUUCUUCCUGUCUCUGGCUUCUUAGCCUCAAUAUCACAUAGCCAGAGAAGUUUCCUAUUGGGUGAAAUUGCCCAUGUCCUUCCCUGCUCAUCUUCCUAGUGGUUCCCGUGUCCUGAAGCAGAGUCCAAGCUCUUUGGAAUCAUUGACACUGAUCUGGCCUCAGUGACCCUUGUCCACCUCACAUGUCAUGGUUUCUUUUCACUCCUGCCCCAGAUGAAAACAAGUCGGUUAUUGCUCCCUGCAGACUCCCAGCUGGGUGCUUUCCCACAUGCCUUUAUUCUCGCUAUCCUCUCUCCCUAGAAUGCCUUUCACCCACCUCCCCAAUUCUGACUUGAAUAUUUCUCCUUCAUUCUCCAAAACUCCACUUGGACAUCACCUACUCCAAGGAGUCUUUUCUAAAUCUCUUAACUCUAAAGAAGGUUGUGGACUAUGAACACCCAGUGCCUCUCACUGAUGAUAUCAUAUUGAUUACGACUGUCUACUUAGGGAUCUCCAAGCCUCUCAAGGGCAGGGCAUGUCUUAUCACCCUCUGAAUUGGUGGCAUCUGGUGCAGAGUCUGGCACAAAGCAGCAAUAUGUAAAAUGUUUGUUAAAUAAAUAGCUCAACAAUUUUUUUUAAAGAUAGGACAUACCAAGCAAAUACACGAGAAUAAAUGGUCUUACAAUCAAGGAAAAAACAAAGUUUCCAGGUAAGUGCUAUCAUGUUUGAACUGCUGGUGCUGCAUGAACAUAAAACCCUUACUGUAAUGGUUUAGCAAAGCUUAUAGUCCAUAGUUUGGAGUCAGUCAGAGAACAGAAGGUGCCCUGUAUUGAAAGGAGCAUGUGUUAUAUUUAAGUCAGAGCACUAAUAGAACUUGGUCCCCUCAAAAAAACAUAAACUAUACUGAGGAAUCAUGAUACUAAGCACAGAAAUGAACAAGAGUGAAUCAGGACCAUAAAGUUAACAUUGUCAUCACUGACAUAUUGAGGAGGUCUUCAUUUAACCACAAGCAAGCAGGAGCCACUAGGAAAAAGACUGGAUCUCUAUCAGCCUCUGAGUAAAAAAAGAAUACCUUCCAGGCCAAGACUGUUAUGUAGGAAAGUGAGUAUCUGUAGCUAUCUGAGGAAACAGAGGGAGCUGACAUCCUUGUAGCCUCACUGACUGUGCCCUUGACUUUCAACCCUGACCACAUAACUAGAGUGGUUUUAGUACUGGGAUGAAUACUAUGAUCUGGCUUCUGCAUGCACUGUUUACCUACUUGGGUCAGGCAAAAUAGGCUGAAACAACUUAGAAACUAAACAUUGGAGAAGACAAUAUGAUAGAAAAGAACAUGAAUCUACAAUAAAACAGUAGCAUUAUUAAUAAACCACUUAGCAACUAAGAAAAACAUGAAUUUUAUCCAUUUCUUUCCUUUCCUCACCCUCUAUUUUUUCACUUUUCUCCCUACCAUUCUCUCUCUCUCUAAUCUAUUUUUUCAUUUCUCUUGCACUUUUGUUCUCUUUUAAGACAAGGAGAAACUGAAAAAGUAUAAGAUUCUAUGGAUUUGGGAGUUAUCAUAGGUUUGUUGUCUAAAGCUUGGAAAUUUUCUCUGGAACAUAUCCCCACACAUGCCCAUAACCUCCAGUUAUUUCAAUAACUAUUACUUACAAAUGUCUAGAGUUCUGCCUCCAAGUCAUCACUCAUACCUUAGGAGCCUCGAUAGCUACCUUCAAAAGAUCAAUAUGGACAGUCAAUGUAUUUAUGUUCUAAAUAUAGGUUGAAUGUGUGUGCCAUACCCAUGAAAAGAUAUGUCUACCCAGAACCUGUGAAUGUAACCUUAUUUGGAAAAAGAGUCUUUGCAGGUGUGAUUUAGUUAAGAGUCUUAAGAUGAGAUUUUCCUCAUAACCCUAGUUGACAAUAAAUCCAUAACAAGUGCCGUUCCAAGAGAAGGGGAAAAUACACAUAGAGAAGUUGAGAGGAAAGAGGCAGAGAUUGGAAUGAUGUGUUACCAGCCAAGAAGUGCCAAGAACUUCACACAGCCAUCAGAAGUUGGGAGAGGGUCAUGGAAUAGACUCUGCUGCAAAACACAUAGAGAAGUUGAAAGGAAAGAGGCAGAGAUUGGAAUGAUGUGUUACCAGCCAAGAAGUGCCAAGAACUUCACACAGCCAUCAGAAGUUGGGAGAGGGUCAUGGAAUAGACUCUGCUGCAAAACACAUAGAGAAGUUGAAAGGAAAGAGGCAGAGAUUGGAAUGAUGUGUUACCAGCCAAGAAGUGCCAAGAACUUCACACAGCCAUCAGAAGUUGGGAGAGGGUCAUGGAAUAGACUCUGCUGCAAAACACAUAGAGAAGUUGAAAGGAAAGAGGCAGAGAUUGGAAUGAUGUGUUACCAGCCAAGAAGUGCCAAGAACUUCACACAGCCAUCAGAAGUUGGGAGAGGGUCAUGGAAUAGACUCUGCUGCAAAGCCUCCAGACGGAACCAACCCUGCUGGCACCUUCCUAUUGGACUUCCAGCCUUCAGAAUAAAUUUGUUAUUCUGAGCCACCUGAUUUAUGGCCACUUGUUACAGCAGCCACAGGAAACUAAUACAUGUAAAAAUUACAGUCAUCUCUAUACCACUUGCUUUACCAGCAAGCAUUCUAGUGUUUUUGUGGAUGGAGGGGAAUUCUUCCUUAGAUGCUCCUAAAGAUCCCUUCAAGUCUCCUGCACAUCUGAGAACAAGUUCUUUUCAUUACUCAUCUGCUCUUUCCUAGCCAUAUGCCAGGUCGAAAUGACGCCAUUCCUUGGCCUGACACCUCUGCCCUAGGAAGUAAGAACUCCAUUGCCUUGCAGAUACCACGGUAUCAUAAGAUAUAACACAGAGAGUAAUUUACAAUUGCUAACAGAUGUGUGAUUUCAUUUUCCAUAUGCCCUGAAUUACACAAGUCCAAGGAAGAACCAUUUUCCUUCUUUCCACAUGAGAGGUAACCCCUUGCAGCAGUGUAAUGCACUGAGCACUGAGUGGUCUGCAUGGGCCCUUCUCAUAAAGUGCCCUACAGAACCAGCUCCCUUACCUAGCUCCACCUGUCAUGUCUCAAACUCAUUCCAACAGCUUAGAGUGAAUUUAACCACCGUUAAAUUCGUUACAGUCCAUAAUCAAAAGAGUCAUGAAGACUCCCCCUUGACCCAGGCUAAAGCUCACCUGAUCAGGAUCAGCAUCUAUUAACAAGGGAAAUAUCUUCACCUUUCCAAGACAACCUCAUCUCCAGCCCACUGUAACCUCACCAUUAAACCCCCAAAGUCAAUGACAUCAAACUUCAGCUUCCCGACACCUCUUCAUUUAUCCAAUCCUGGGUUAUUCAGUCUUGCAGUCACUCACUUAAGACUACAGUGGUUAUCUCCAGGACAACCAUCAUUAAUUCCUUUCCUUCCUGAACAUAUAUGUUAAUAUCACAUUGAGAGGUGGAAAAUAUUUCUCUACCCCCUUCAAUCUGGUCUGGCCUUUGAUGCUUUGACCAAUAGGAACCAAAGAAGUAACACUGUGCCAGCUCCAGGCCUUACUGUUGGGACUAGCAGAGUUCACUUUAGUAUCCACCACCUAAGCAGCUAUUAAGACGUCCAGCUGUAAGGAAAUCCAGGUUGAGCUUUGUAUGGUCUUGUCUGGUCCUAUCUCUUUGUACGAAGUUUCCUACUAUGUGUUGUGAAGCAUAGGUUUGGCCCUCUCUCCUGUUGUCUACUUUAUCUCAGCAUUCAAACAAGAUACAUACAAUACCUAUACAACUUCCCAUUAGAAUAAGCAAUAACUUACUCCCACAGAAGUAUCUAAAUCCAUACUUGGGGAAAAAAAGCAUUUCUUAGAAACAAAACCCACAAAAAUGUACCUCUGAUUCAACUGUACAAAAUAAUUUCCAUCACUAAGCCUGCUUGCAAUCAGAUGAAUAGUUUCUUCUUGGUUUUCCCCAAGUGGACACUUGCCUUUCCAUUUGCAUUUAAAGAGUCUAUUUAGUUAGUUUUCUCCAAACGAAUAAAAAAGUCUCCCCAAGAAAAGUAGUUGCAUUUCUACCUCUUUUAAGACUAACAAUUUGUACAGCUUAGAAAUGACAAUUAUUUCUUUUCUAUCACUUCCAUCAAGGUUUUAAAAGCUUUGGGAAUUACAGCGAGGCACCAUGUUACACUUUCAUGCCUGUAAGCUGAAGUUUUAUUCUAAGAAACAUUCAAAAAGAUGUAAGGAGGCAUUACAUUGGUCUCAACGCUUGAUUAUCUCUAGAAAAUGUAAAUGCAAAGAGAAAGGGAAGCAGAAAGCAGAGACGGGAAGCAAGAUAUGAAAAGGCUGUCUCAGGGGAGUUUAAGACAUUUUAGAAGGAGAAAAGCUAAAAGGAAGACGUGAGAUUCCAUUUCCAUUCUUUUCCUUUCUCCCCAUCUUUUCCCUUGUGGCUACACAUAAUUCACAAACACAGCAUCAAGAUUAGAAUAUAGCUCAGGAGCCAUUUUAGACUUCAGUGUUCCAAAUAAGUUUCAAAACCUCCACAUAUGUGGAAUAUCCCAAUUGAAAAUAUUCUACUCUCUGAGAGCCAAUCCAAAACUCUUCCUUCAGGUAUCCACCAUAUUCUCAUUGUCAUUUUUUUGUCACCACCAUUACUGGCUGUAGGAAAAGCUUAGUUCACUGCUUAGGCUGCAGAAAUUAAUGCUCAACUUAUCCAAGGUACAUGUAUACAAUAAGGAUGAUAACAACUGUUUAUAAAUUUAGCAUAAACAAAAAGGUUACUCUGACGGUCUUACUUUCGAUUCAUUUUUAAGGGUAAAUACCAGUUCUCCUUAAAUACAGAUUCUAUAUUUGUUGUUGAUCCUUAACCAAAAGUAGACACUUUUAAAAGAAGUAACAAAAGCUCUAUAGUUACAUAUUUUACAAUACAAUAUGUAACUAUAGAUUAAAAUGUUCAAAAUCAGGAGUUCUCAAUGUGGCACAGCAGGUUAAGGAUCCAGAGUUGUCGCAGCCAUGGCACAAGUUUCAGCUGCAGCUCAGACUCAAGCUCUGGCAAGGGAACUUCCAUAGGCCAUGGGUGCAGCCAAAAAAAAAAAAA